rnacentral:lncRNA from 1 species
AUACACACUUCAACUAUCGUCUGCCACUACCACCGUGUCCUUCACUUCCUUUUUUUGUAAAUUGAUUUUUCUGUUAACCUCUACCAUCUCCUUCUUCUCCACACACACGAAAUCAAAUCUGAUGAAGGAUUUUCAGACGAACACCUUCAAGAAGAAAAAAUCAGAUCGAGUGCGUGGGUCUCCGAUCUCCUCCUCGGAUCACAAGCUCCUCGCCACCUAGUAGGUCUUCUCUUUUAGCGAAGACAAGCUCAAGGAGAUGAUGAUUUUCAGAUCUGAGGACCUCGUUUUCAGAUCCGAGUAUCUCGUUUGCAGAUCUGGUAGCGGUGACGAGCUUAAGGUUUUUUCUUCUCCGGUGGUGGUGGCAAUGACGAUGAUGGAGCUGAAAAUCUGGUUCGUCUUCUCCGGUAUUUUUAUGAAGAUGGUGGCGAUAAUCUGAAUCUUUGCCUGAGAAAGGGGGUAGGGGAGACCGAGAUCAAGAUCAAAGUUCCGGUAAGCUUGAUAAUCAGAAUCUUUUCCUGAUUGUCUUCACAUCAAACUCACUCACACACACAUACUUGAGUCGCAGGAUUUGGUUGUACCCUAUGAGUUUGAGAAAUUUGGUUUUAAUUGUUGAUGCAGAAUCGAUUUUCCUGGUGGGUUCAUCCCAAUGACAUGAUUUUGAAGUGUAUGAGUUAAUCUAUGUUGUAUGAAUCGAGUGUUUGAGAAGGGAGAAAUCAGAUUUAUGAUGCUAGGAACGAUUAUUUUCAAAAAAGAAAUCAGAUGCUUGUUGUUGAUGGAUAUGAUUC